AGCAGCCGCGGUAAUUCCAGCUCCAAUAGCGUAUAUUAAAGUUGUUGCAGUUAAAAAGCUCGUAGUUGAAUUUCGGGAUCAAGGGAUCGGUCAUGCCUUGGUAUGUACUGGUCUUAUUGGUUCUCACCUUCUAAAGAACCAUGAUGUCAUUUAUUUGAUGUUAUGGGGAAUUAGGACUGUUACCUUGAAAAAUUAGAGUGUUUAAAGCAAGCUUACGCUUGAAUACAUUAGCAUGGAAUAAUGAAAUAGGACAUCAGAUUCUAUUUUGUUGGUUUCUAGGAUCGAUGUAAUGAUUAAUAGGGAUAGUUGGGGGCAUUAGUAUUCAAUUGUCAGAGGUGAAAUUCUUGGAUUUAUUGAAGACUAACUACUGCGAAAGCAUUUGCCAAGGAUGUUUUCAUUAAUCAAGAACGAAAGUUAGGGGAUCGAAGACGAUCAGAUACCGUCGUAGUCUUAACCAUAAACUAUGCCGACUAGGGAUCGGAUGAUGUUAAUUUUUAAUGACUC
rnacentral:rRNA from 1 species